rnacentral:rRNA from 1 species
CCUACGGGAGGCAGCAGUGGGGAAUAUUGCUCAAUGGGGGAAACCCUGAAGCAGCAACGCCGCGUGAAGGAUGAAGGUUUUCUGAGUGUAAACUCCUUUUGUUCGAGGAGCAAAUGACGGUAUCUACCGACUCAGCACCGACUCACUCCAUACCAACCGCCGCAGUCAUACGGAGGGUGCAAGCGGUACUCGGAAUCACUGGGCGUAAACGGCGCGUAGGCGGGAUAGCAAGUCAGAUGUGAAAUCCUAUGGCUUAACCAUAGAACUGCAGUUGAAACUGUUAGUCUAGAGUAUGGGAGAGGUAGGUGGAAUGCGUGGUGUAGGGGUAAAAUCCGUAGAGAUCACGCAGAACACUCAUUGCGAAGGCGACCUGCCAGAACAUAACUGACGCUGAUGCGCGAAAGCGUGGGGAGCAAACAGGAUUAGAUACCCCUGUAGUC